UCCCCCUCUGUGAAGGAGUCAGUAGGUACAGCGAUGUAUGCAAUAUAAACGGUGACCAGCUGGUUCGUGAGUGGAUGAUUGUACAGACCCACUGAGCCACGCACAGCAAAGCAAGGAGGAAAUUUCCAGACAGACCAGCUUUUCCACAUGCUACAUGUAACUCCAAUGCCUGCAUUCCUAAUUGUAGUGCUUGGAAGUGAGACCAAGAAAGAGAUGAUUUGGCACUUGCAGAAUGGAGCUUUCCAAGAUCUUUACAAACACAACACAAUUAACCCUUUCAAGAGAGAGAUUCUUGCAUGGAGGGGAGCACUGGCUGCACACGGAAAUCACUGGCACUCCAAAAUGCAGAUGGGGCUUCUUUGCUGCUCACCUUCUGUUUGGCAUCAGCACUGUAACCAGUCUCUACUGGGUGACAGCCCCUCAGAACCUGGCGUGCAUGGGACCUGUGGCUGUGCUGUGGGACUGAGCUGAGAGAAGAAGAGAGCUCACAUGGACUUUUCUGGGCAUCUGUGGUUAGCAUUUGGAAGAGAAAGCCA